rnacentral:rRNA from 1 species
AUUGAACGCUGGCGGCAUGCCUUACACAUGCAAGUCGAACGGCAGCACGGGUGCUUGCACCUGGUGGCGAGUGGCGAACGGGUGAGUAAUAUAUCGGAACGUACCUUAUUGUGGGGGAUAACGCAGCGAAAGCUGUGCUAAUACCGCAUAAUCCCUAAGGGGGAAAGCGGGGGACCGUAAGGCCUCGCGCAAUUAGAGCGGCCGAUACCUGAUUAGCUAGUUGGUGAGGUAAAGGCUCACCAAGGCAACGAUCAGUAGCUGGUCUGAGAGGACGAUCAGACACACUGGGACUGAGACACGGCCCAGACUCCUACGGGAGGCAGCAGUGGGGAAUUUUGGACAAUGGGGGCAACCCUGAUCCAGCAAUGCCGCGUGAGUGAAGAAGGCCUUCGGGUUGUAAAGCUCUUUUGUCAGGGAAGAAACAGCAGCUCUAACACAGUUUGCGAAUGACGGUACCUGAAGAAUAAGCACCGGUUAACUACGUGCCAGCCGCCGCCGCAG